AGCAGCCGCGGUAAUUCCAGCUCCAAUAGCGUAUAUUAAAGUUGUUGCAGUUAAAAAGCUCGUAGUUGAAUUUCGGGGUUCUACCGUUGGUCGGGCUUUGUCUGUACUGGCGUGUAGAAUUUCUACCUUCUGGGGAACCAUCAUGUUAUUAAUUUAACGUGGUGGGAAACCAGGACCUUUACCUUGAAAAAAUUAGAGUGUCCAAAGCAGGCUUAUGUCUGAAUACAUUAGCAUGGAAUAAUAGAAUAGGACGGUGGUCCUGUUUUGUUGGUUUCUGAAUCACCGUAAUGAUUAAUAGGGAUAGUUGGGGGCAUUAGUAUUCAAUUGUCAGAGGUGAAAUUCUUGGAUUUAUUGAAGACUAACUUCUGCGAAAGCAUUUGCCAAGGAUGUUUUCAUUAAUCAAGAACGAAAGUUAGGGGAUCGAAGACGAUCAGAUACCGUCGUAGUCUUAACCAUAAACUAUGCCGACUAGGGAUCGGACG
rnacentral:sRNA from 1 species